rnacentral:rRNA from 1 species
AGUCAUAACACAUGCAAGUCGAGCGCGAAAGUUCUUCGGAAUGAGUAGAGCGGCGGACGGGUGAGUAACGCGUGGGAAAUUGCCCAGUAGUGGGGGACAACAUUCGGAAACGGAUGCUAAUACCGCAUACGCCCUACGGGGGAAAGCAGGGGAUCUUCGGACCUUGUGCUAUUGGAUAUGCCCGCGUCGGAUUAGCUAGUUGGUGAGGUAAUGGCUCACCAAGGCAACGAUCCGUAGCUGGUCUGAGAGGAUGAUCAGCCACACUGGGACUGAGACACGGCCCAGACUCCUACGGGAGGCAGCAGUGGGGAAUAUUGGACAAUGGGCGCAAGCCUGAUCCAGCCAUGCCGCGUGUGUGAAGAAGGCUCUAGGGUUGUAAAGCACUUUCAGUAGGGAGGAAGGCCUUAAAGUUAAUACCUUUGAGGAUUGACGUUACCUACAGAAGAAGCACCGGCUAACUCCGUGCCAGCAGCCGCGGUAAUACGGAGGGUGCGAGCGUUAAUCGGAAUUACUGGGCGUAAAGCGCGCGUAGGCGGUUAGUUAAGCUGGAUGUGAAAGCCCCGGGCUCAACCUGGGAACUGCAUUCAGAACUGGCUGGCUAGAGUACGAGAGAGGGUAGUGGAAUUUCCUGUGUAGCGGUGAAAUGCGUAGAUAUAGGAAGGAACAUCAGUGGCGAAGGCGACUGCCUGGCUCGAUACUGACGCUGAGGU